rnacentral:rRNA from 1 species
GCUUGUCUCAAAGAUUAAGCCAUGCAUGUCUCAGUAUAAGUUCCUGUACGGCGAAACUGCGAAUGGCUCAUUAAAACAGUUAUAGUUUAUUUGAUGGUCGUUCCUUACAUGGAUAACUGUGGUAAUUCUAGAGCUAAUACAUGCACCCAUGCCCGACUUUGUGGAAGGGUUGUGUUUAUUAGUUACAGAACCAACCCAGGCUCUGCCUGGUCUUGUGGUGAUUCAUAAUAACCGAACGAAUCGUAUGGCAUCAGCUGGCGAUGCAUCAUUCAAGUUUCUGCCCUAUCAGCUUUGGAUGGUAGGGUAUUGGCCUACCAUGGCUUUAACGGGUAACGGAGAAUUAGGGUUCGAUUCCGGAGAGGGAGCCUGAGAAAUGGCUACCACAUCCAAGGAAGGCAGCAGG